UACGAAGGGAGCUAGCGUUGUUCGGAAUCACUGGGCGUAAAGCGCACGUAGGCGGCGUCGUAAGUCAGGGGUGAAAUCCCGGAGCUCAACUCCGGAACUGCCUUUGAAACUGCAAUGCUAGAAUCUUGGAGAAGCGAGUGGAAUUCCGAGUGUAGAGGUGAAAUUCGUAGAUAUUCGGAAGAACACCAGUGGCGAAGGCGACUCGCUGGACAAGUAUUGACGCUGAGGUGCGAAAGCGUGGGGAGCAAACAGG
rnacentral:rRNA from 1 species